rnacentral:rRNA from 1 species
UACGUAGGGUGCAAGCGUUGCCCGGAUUUAUUGGGCGUAAAGGGCGCGUAGGCGGCUCGGCACGUCCGUUGUGAAAUCGCCCGGCUCAACUGGGCGGGGUCGGCGGAUACGGCCGAGCUGGAGCAAGCUAGGGGGUAAUGGAAUUCCCGGUGUAGUGGUGGAAUGCGUAGAUAUCGGGAGAACACCAGUGGCGAAGGCGGUUACCUGGAGCUU